rnacentral:snRNA from 2 species
UCACUUACCUGGGUGGGGUGUAUGGACGAUCAAUAAGGUCCAUCGCCUAGGAUACUGACCUCCAUUGCACUUUGGAGGGGCAUUCUCCUAAGAUCUGUUCUAUGAGCAGAGUCUACAUCAUAAUUUGUGGUAGUGGGGGCUUGCGUCCGCGCAGCCCUCUU